ACCUAGAAGAAAUGGCUCUUUUUCAAUGUAUAAUAAAAUUCUUCUCUGCUCUCUAUUACAUCCAGGAGAUUACAUGCCUCAUUGCUCCCGUCCUCCAUCACAGACUGAGCAGAGCAUAUGCAUUGAGUUGCGCUGUGUUUACCACAACCACGCGGUCUCUCCAUUACAGAAGAACGCUGUGAUGACAGGUUUCUGUACAUUGGUCGAACAAACAGCUACCACCCCAACCUGGCCCCAUAGACAGCAUCAGCAAACCAUCAAACACUGAGGACUUGAAGGGGAAAAUGAAUCACUUUUACCAUAGUUACCCAUUCAGUCCUUCAGUUGAAGAGGUACAUAUACAUACUGAAAAACAUAUGGAAAAACUGUUUUGUAGGUAUUCACACUUCAAACCAUUAUUUUAACUAUUAUGUUAAAGUGAAUGUAUUAUUAUUAUUUGUUUUUUGAAUGGACCUUUG
ensembl:lncRNA